rnacentral:lncRNA from 1 species
GCUCUCUCUCAAAUAAAUAAAUUAAUUAAAUAUUUUUUAAAAAUAAUAAUUAUUAUAAAACCUUCUAUUCUUGCCAGGUGCGUCUCAGGAUUCAGUGAAAGGAUGUAUAUCAGAGACACCUCACCGGUGCUUUCCUUGUCCCACCCUGGCCUGAGGCAAAUUCCAGCGACACAGUGUGUUUUUUUAAGGACUAAAACAGAUAUCCUAUGCAGUGCACACCAAGACAUGUCCCACUGAGCGUGACUAGGGAGGAGCUCCCACCACUGUGCGUCAUCAUGCAAGUGUAACAUAUGAAUUGUCUAUGCAGCAGCCUGUCACACAAGGCUGCUGACCAUGUUUUCGUAUGUCACAGGAAUCUCACAUUUCUUUAAACCUUCCUGAAUGGUUCCUCACUCUCGGUUUCUAACCUUACUUCUUUACAGACUAGUAGCAAACAGCUCACAGCCCACACUUUAAGGAACAUGUCUGUAUCUCAAUGGUGGAGGUAUAAACUGGUACAAUCAUUUUGACCGUAUUUACUGAAGUCAAAUGUAUACAUAUAUAUGACCAAGGAAUUUCAUCGCAAGGUAUAACUUAAAGAUGUAUACACUGCAUCAAAUGAAAUACACAAGAAUGUUUAUAGUAGGACUAUUUAUAAGAACUCCCCAAACCAGAAAUAACCCAACAUGAGCAGAAAAGAAUAUAAUAAAUCAAUAUCCCUCAUGAAUGUUUAGAUAAAGAUCCUUAAAAAAAAAAAAAAAGCAAAUAUAGUAUUAUACCAUGACUAGGUGGGGCUCUUUCUGGAAAUGCAAGAUUGGUUUAACAUUUGAAAAUCAAUAUAAUUCACUAAGUUAACAAAAUAAAGCAUUUGCAAAAUUCAAAAUCAAUUUGUGAUGACAACCUUCAGCAAUCUAAAAAUAGAAUGGUUUUGACUUGAUUUAAUUCUUCAAUUUUAUACAGGAAUACGUAUGAAUUUGAUGCAGGACAUGUAUGAAAAGUUAAAACUAUCAUACUUAAUGGUGAAAAAUUGAACACUCUACUUCCAUUUUCAUCACUUCUUUUCAGCAAUAUACUGGUGGUCUUAGCUAUUGCCAAUAAGGAAGAUUUUUAAAAAUAAAG